rnacentral:rRNA from 1 species
CCUACGGGGUGCAGCAGUGAGGAAUAUUGGUCAAUGGGCGCGAGCCUGAACCAGCCAAGUAGCGUGAAGGAUGACUGCCCUACGGGUUGUAAACUUCUUUUAUACAGGAAUAAAGUGCCUUACGUGUGCCUUUUUGUAUGUACUUUAUGAAUAAGGAUCGGCUAAUUCCGUGCCAGCAGCCGCGGUAAUACGGAGGAUCCGAGCGUUAUCCGGAUUUAUUGGGUUUAAAGGGAGCGUAGAUGGGAUGUUAAGUUAGUUGUGAAAGGUUGCGGCUCAACCGUGGAAUUGCAAUGGAUACUGGCAGGCGUGAGUACGGGUGAGGUAGGCGGAAUUCGUGGUGUAGCGGUGAAAUGCUUAGAUAUCACGAAGAACUCCGAUUGCGAAGGCAGCUUACUAAACUGCCACUGACAUUGAUGCUCGAAAGUGUGGGUAUCAAACAGGAUUAGAUACCCGGGUAGUC